rnacentral:tRNA from 1 species
AGCGAAACAGCUCGGUUGGUAGAGCGUUAGACUAUAAAUCCAAAGGACCCUGGUUCGAUCCCGGGAUUCGGAA